AUGGCUGCCGGCCCUCACACCCCAGGGCGGCGCACAGGGCCUGGGCCUGACGACGUCCUUAGGGUCCCUGAGCAGCCGGGUCCUCACGGCCCUCGGCGACCCGGGGUCCCCGGGAUGGAGCGAGGCUCUGGGCCUUCAGCAGACGCCGGGGCCCCAGACAGCCCUGACCCGAGCUCCAGAGACAUCCGAGCCCAGGCUCCGAGAGAACCACCCCCGGCCGGGUGCGUCCGAGUCAGUGCUCCCCCGAAGGCGGGGACGUCGGGCGAGAAGCAACUGCAAGGACUCGCGGGAAGAAGCCACCGGGAAUCAUGGCGGCCGCGCUCGGAGGGACGGCUGUGCACGAGACCAUGGGCUGGAAGACCCAGGAGUGGAUGCUUUUGCCCCAACGAUGGCUGUCACCCAGAAUCCCAUGGGGCCGCCACCCUCCAGCAGCUGAGAGGGACCUGGUGGAGAAUCAUAACCUUCCCUACCAUCCAGCACCUCAGAGGUGGCUCUGCUGGUGGGAGAAUCACAACUUUCCGCCUGCUCCCGACACAGGUGGCUAAUGCGGAAUCCUGGUCAACAAAGUCUGCAGCCCUGCAGCCUGCUGCGAUGUUUGCUGAGCAGCAGACACAGGUGAAGAGUUGCUCUGAUAACGCCCUGAUCUGCUGCAGCUGUAGGUGAAGGAGCAGCUUAGGAUAGAAAUCAAGAUAAGAGCAACAAACCCAGGCUCCCGCGAGAAGCCAGUGGGUGUCCAACUUGAGGGCGGAGGAAGGCCCCGCACUGCCUGGACGAGGACUGACUGCGGCCAAUUCACUCCGGGGCUGGGCGUCCACGUCCAGCCAGAACGCAGAACUUGCCGGGGUGCGCCGCUCACCCAGGCCCCGCCGUCCCCGCCGUGAGGGUGCUCAGCUCUGCGUGGCUUGACUGUGGGCCCUCAGGUGUCCUUGUCCAGGGCUCAGCCUCCCCAUCCUCUGCAGCGGGGACAUUCUAAGUGAGUGUCUUGUUUAAAAAACAAAGGUGGUAAAAACUGGAGUGUGAGAGGUUAACAAGUUGGCUCCUGCUUUACUAUGGGGGGUCCCUGGCAGCUCCUCUGUUGAAGGACGCAUGGGGCAUCUGUGCCGCUCUCGUAGGGACGUUUCCAGGGCCUUGUGUGACUGUGUUCACGUCUGCCCCUCUCACCUCUGAGCUCCUCCCCACCGCGCUUGUGAGUGGAGCAGCCCAGGAGACUGUAUGUGGGGUUUUCCAACCACAAAGCGUGGGGGCUUUGGAGUCUGACGUGCUCCUCGGCGUGGCCACAUGUGCCUCUUUCUCCACUCCUGGCCAUCAGCUGCCCUCAAGAAGUCAGCCACCCCUGCAGAUGGACAAUGAGUACGCAAAGCCAGGGAGGAAGGGCUUUGUCGGGGGAGCUUGGCGUAGGCGUCCACUUCGUCAGGGCCUCAGCUCUUGCCUGGUGAUUCCUGUGGGCUGAUGUACCCAUCACGGGGCACAGAGUGGGACGCCUGCCAUGCCGUCCUCCCUGCAAACCACAGCCAACAUCCAGGCCCCGCCUUUCACUCGAAGCUCAGUCCUUGUUCUGCCCGGGGGAUCUGGUGCAUCCUGCUGUGUCCAAGGCCCUUGCUAUGGUCCCUGGAGUGGUCUCAGGGGCUGUGCCACACCGCAGGGGCCUCGGAUGGCCCCCAUGUCUCACUGAGCAGACAACCAAUUUUCAGUAUGCAGGUGACAAGCAAGAAGCGGCGUCACCCCUAAACCUUGAGUUUCUUUGCCAAGCAGGAAGCGGUGUCACCCCUAAACCUUGAAGUUCUCCAGUCCUGGGCGUCCCCACUGCCUCCUUCCGGGUCACGUGUUCACAGAGCUAGGGGAAGACCCAGAGACUCCAACGUAUCCUCCAGGACCUGCAGAUGGGCAGAGGCAGAGGCAAGUCCAGCACCCGUGCCGUGCAGUGGAGACCCAGAGAUCAGGCCAGAUGCCUGCAUCUGUGCCGGCUAUGCCACCGCAGCAGCGCUGUCCCCAGACACCUAGAACCGUCCGCGUGCACAGGCUCGUGGCUGCCCUGGCGGAGGUGCCCCAUGCACCCCCUCAUCUGAUGUCAGGUACACUCCUGCCCCAGGCCAGUGCUGUUGCAAAGCUGGAGUUUGUGUUCAGGCUGAUUAUCUUGAACUUAGGCUAAUCUUCCA
rnacentral:lncRNA from 1 species